UACAGAGGUCUCAAGCGUUGUUCGGAUUCAUUGGGCGUAAAGGGUGCGUAGGCGGCGCGGUAAGUCGGGUGUGAAAUCUUGGAGCUUAACUCCGAAACUGCAUUCGAUACUGCCGUGCUUGAGGACUGGAGGAGGAGACUGGAAUUUACGGUGUAGCGGUGAAAUGCGUAGAUAUCGUAAGGAAGACCAGUGGCGAAGGCGGGUCUCUGGACAGUUCCUGACGCUGAGGCACGAAGGCCAGGGGAGCAAACGGG
rnacentral:rRNA from 1 species